rnacentral:rRNA from 1 species
CAGUAGCCACGGGAAUACAGAGGGUGCAAGCGUUAAUCGGAAUUACUGGGCGUAAAGCGCGCGUAGGUGGUUUGUUAAGUUGGAUGUGAAAUCCCCGGGCUCAACCUGGGAACUGCAUCCAAAACUGGCAAGCUAGAGUAUGGUAGAGGGUGGUGGAAUUUCCUGUGUAGCGGUGAAAUGCGUAGAUAUGGGAAGGAACACCAGUGGCGAAGGCGACCACCUGGACUGAUACUGACACUGAGGUGCGAAAGCGUGGGGAGCAAACAGGAUUAGAUACCCCGGUAGUCCCUGUCUCUUAUAC